CUCCCCGCUCAGGCCCGCCCGGAGUUGCAGGCGCGAGCCUGGGAGGACGAGUCUCCCCGGGCUUGCGGUCCCUGUCGCCCGUCUCUCUCCGUGGGGAUCUCCGGGGGUCUGGCGCGUGGGCGUGCGUGCCUCAGAGGGGGCAUCGAGACGGGGCCACCUCGGGGGCGAGCCCCGGACCCCGGGGACAGCCUGGCAGCUCGCGGAGGCCGGACCUCAGCUGCCGUUUGCAGCUCCACAUCCCGGGCCCGCACCGGGCGGCGAGGAGCGCGCCAGCCCCUGCCAGCCUUCACCCGGCCAGCGCCAGGCUCGGGGCGGGGCGCAGCCCGCGUCCCUGAGACCCUCAGGGCCAAGAGGAAAGAGCCGGGCUGGAGGGCGAGCCGCACCUCCGAGCCCGACACCGGCUGCGGCGGCGAAAAGCCGAGGCCCCCGCCCGAGCCGAGGCGCCCGGGUGCCCUCCGGGCGCUGCAAGGGUCACCGAUUCCCGGGGUUUGGAGCUUUCUCCUCUGGGCCCGGGGAGCCCCGAGGGUGAGCGGGGAUCGAGGGCCCCGUGUCCGUGCGUCCCGCGGGAGGCGGAAGAGGGUCGGGCGGGAGGUGGUCUGGGCAGGGUCCCCACAGUGCCCGCUCCGGGCCAAAGGCCAGGGCGCACCCCGCCCGCCACCCCAACUCGCACGGCGGCGCCUCCUCCGGCGCCCUGCCCGGUCCCCCCCAGGGCUUUCCCCAACCGCUGCUGCCUUGUGCAAAUACAAAACAGCAAGGACAAUGCAAGGGACACUCAGAGCGCUGCCGCCAGCCAGGCAGCCCCGGGGCAAACUCCCGGGACCCUCGGAAGGGCCGUCGGAGAGGUGAAAAGGUCGCACGCAGCCUUCUGGGAACCGCGCUGUGUGUACGCAGCUAACGGUCUGGCUCCCACUGGUUCCAAGGGCUGGCACACGAGGUCUAGGGACGUUGGCCAGGGGUCUCUGCUCAGAGGGUGCGGCGGAAGGACGGGGUUGGGUCAGGAGGAGGGGCGCCCUCGGGCGCUGCGCCCCGCUGUCCAUCUGGGGACGCCGCGAGCCUUUGCCGCCUGCCCGGGGCGCUCCUCCCCGGCUGGGCUACGCGGCAGGCGCAGGCGGGAGGGAGCAGCGAGGGCCGGGCCGGCCCUGACGCUAGGCUGGAGGGAAGGGCGGCAGGGGGCGCGGCCGCGCCCAGCGGAUCGGGAGCCGCGCGAGGCUGCUCCCUCCGCCUUCCCCAGGAAGGGCUCCGCCCGCAGCCCGGGCGCAGAAAACGCCUGUCUUGCCGCUCACAUGCAGAGCGCCUUUCCCCAACCAACUAAUAAGGCAUGCACUGUGUACUCUGGGGGAGGGAUGUUGAAGUCCUGCCUUUGAUUUUAGCUCAUUGUGGCUUUCUUACCCUCCUGGGUUUCCCCACACGGUACUGGGUACUGGAGCCCUCCUCGCUGAUUGAUAAUUGCCGGCUGGUGCUGCAGCACAGUGCAAAUUGUCCUUGCUAACAACCUCUUCUGCUCUUGGAUUCCGCUCAGCGGUGGAAAGGGUCAGUUUUAGAUUUCUGCAACUCCCCAGCGAGGGAGACAGACCGACUUUAUAGGAGAACAUGUGAUAGGCAGAAAAAGCCAUGUGGCAGUAUUCCUAGGUUGAUUUUAUUUUGGUCCCAAGAACAUGGCACUCCUUCUGAUACCCCAACCCCCAGGCUAGGUAGACCCAAGUUCCACCUGAGGAAAGAUUCACCCACCGCCUGCGUUCCCAGUCUGCCCUGCCGGCCUGACCUUCAUGCCCAGAUGGGAGGGAGGCCUAGGCCUCCUAACAAUGGCCUGGACGCUAAAUGUUCCUUCCCUUCCUUUCAUCAAGCCCUCGUCAAUUUGUCAGAAAUAAGAUGAGAUCCAUUGCUCCCCAAAGGCCGUUUGAGCCACUAACUUCCUUAGAGUACUUCAGAUUAAUGCAAUAUGGAGAUUCAGGUUGGUAGUCCAAAACUGUAUCAAAUAUAGUCUUUUUUUUUUGGAAACAUCAAACCCAUGUAUUUCAGCACUGCAAUAAAACGACAUAUUUUCAGUAGGAGCUAACCAACAUUUGAAAUGUAAGAAUGGAAGGAGUGAAACUGGGAAAAUAUUAAAAAUUGGAUUUCAAGUAUUCUUGAAAAUACUUUUCUUAAAAUGGCAUUUCUUUCAAAUGACUGUCAUACAGAAUGUGUCAGUGGGCUGCAUGGUGGCUGUCUUCUUAGUUUGUAUUGGCAGAGGAACAGAAAGUAAACACAUAGCUUUAGUUUUUGAUUCUUUGUGUUUAGCCUUUUAAAACUUACCUUGAAAAUGUUCAAAUACUGGAGAAGAGACUUUCACCUAACAUUUUAAAACUUAGUUAAAAUGCGAAGUUUUUAUAAGACAGUGCACCUCCUAACAAGCAAGAUAAAGGGGGAAAAUGCUUAAUUUGGAAUCAUGUUGGUAAAUUCCAAAUGUUUCUCGGUAGGGGUUAGGUUUUGAAGACUGUACAUUACUCCUUUGAAAAAAAUAACUAUAUUUUUCUGCCUUUAGUGAGUUACUUUUAAAUUAAGAGUAUUAAAUUAAUAAUAACCAAGAGAAACACUCAGCAAAGCAAUGACAAGAUCAUUAGAGGGAACACAGUCACAUUUCUAAAAGACUAUCUUCAAAUAGGAUGACCUUUAAAUUUUCAACAGUGUUAAAAUUUAAUCAUAGUGCUAUGUAGAGAACUAAAAAUUUAAGGAAUUUUGAAAGAGGUCAAUAAAAAUGAUUCUUAAUAUAUCAAAUGAAGGCCCCUAAAAUGCAGUUAAGGAUUGUUUAAUUUAUCCUUCAAGGAUUUAAUUGUGUUUUGUGUUUUUUUAGAUGACUACUGGCUGUGGCAUGGAGAAUGGGAUAGGAGAAGUGUAAGGGAAGAGGUGAGGGCCCGGAUGUGAAGUAGCUGAAGUAGAAUCUAAACAGGGUGUUGCACAAGGUCUGGCAGUGGACCCUGAAAAGAUGCAUGCAAAACACAUUUCAAAAGUGUGAUGGACAGGACAGGAGGUCAGGUGUAUGGCAGUGAAGGAGUCAAGGUUUCAUAACUCAGUGGGCUGUGAGAGCCUUUAUGUAGGUAAAGGACACUAGGAGAAGGCUAGUUUGGAAGGAAGACCGUGAACUUUAUUGAGUCUUGGGUCAGCUUCUAGUCCCUCUGAGGCAAUCAAACAAGUCAAGAAGGUAGCAGAGUUAUUUGGCUUGGAGAUUUUAAGUUCAUGAGUCACUGAUCUAUAGACAAUAGUAAUUGAGAUGGAAGAGAUGGGUGAAACUGUUGAGGGAAUUGGAAAAGAAGACCAAGGGCAGGGAGGGCUGGGGAUUUAGCUCAGUGGUGCUGCUACAAGUGCAAGGUCCUGAGUUUGAUCCCUGGUACAAAAAAAAAAAAAAAAGACCAAGGGCAAGGAAUUGAAGAACUUGUAAAGCUGGAUUGUCAGAAUGAGUCGACGCAGGGCCUGGAGGGUGAGCAGCUGCAGAGGAAGGAGGAAAACCAGCAAAGUAUAUUGCCAUAAAAGCUAAAUAGAAGCGGGUCUUGAGGAAUCUCCCUGGAGAGAUGGGGCUCCUGCAGAGGUGCUCGUGGCUAUGUAGAGUACGUCUUUCCUGAGGUUCUUCUUUACCUGUGGAACAGCCUGAUCUGGAAAAAGGAUCAAGAAUGGAGCGAGGAUGGCAGUAGGUCUGGCGGAAGACAAAUCAUGACACAUUUUGGCAGUGGACCUUCUUUAAUGUUAUCCCCAGCUUCAGUACCAGAGGUACUGAAGGUAUUUUUUCAGAGUAUUUCUCAGUCUUGAGCUUAAUUGCCAACAUUUUCAUGAGCUUGCAGGGUCCACACAGGGAGUACCAUGCUUUUGAUACAGAAGGCUUCUGGGCAAUUUCUGAUUCUUCAUAGAGAUAUUGGAUAGAAUCAUACUGAUUAAGCUGUGGCAACAGCAAACAGUCUCAAUAUUGUGAAGUCCAAGAGGUGGGUUUUGUUGCUAACAUAAAAAUAUACCUCAGCCACAUGCUGGUGCAAUGCACAAGUGGGGAUUGGGAGUGGAGUUUCUUCCUCUAUCCAACAAAAGAUAUAUUUGCUGUAAUUUUGACCACCACAACCUUUUGUGAAAGCUGCCCUUGGAAAACAGUAC
rnacentral:lncRNA from 1 species